GCGGGGGUAGCAGAGCCAGGUCAAACAUCAAUGGACAAGAUGCGCGGGACUCAAGAUCCCGUCCCGAAGGGGUACGUGGGUUCAAAUCCCACCCCCCGCACCA
rnacentral:tRNA from 1 species